UGCCGCACGAGGCGACCGGCGACGACGCUAU
rnacentral:sRNA from 1 species